rnacentral:misc_RNA from 1 species
GGAGGAAGUGGAGGUGAAGGUAAGCAUUACUAGUUAACCUUACCAGAGUCAUCCAAUUAAUGAAGAAGGCAGAAUUUAACACCAACAUCAAUCCUGAGCUUUGAAAGUGAAAAUCGUGAAUCAUUAAUCAAAAAGAUAUGUCAUUUUGGCCUUCUCUUGGGGUUAAAGUCUUCUU